UGGCGAGUGGCGAACGGGUGAGUAAUAUAUCGGAACGUACCCGGAAUGGGGGAUAACGUAGCGAAAGUUACGCUAAUACCGCAUAUGCCCUAAGGGGGAAAGCGGGGGACUCGCAAGAACCUCGCGUUUUCGGAGCGGCCGAUAUCGGAUUAGCUAGUAGGUGAGGUAAAGGCUCACCUAGGCGACGAUCCGUAGCUGGUCUGAGAGGACGACCAGCCACACUGGAACUGAGACACGGUCCAGACUCCUACGGGAGGCAGCAGUGGGGAAUUUUGGACAAUGGGCGCAAGCCUGAUCCAGCCAUGCCGCGUGAGUGAAGAAGGCCUUCGGGUUGUAAAGCUCUUUCAGCCGGAAAGAAAACGCACGGGUUAAUAGCCUGUGUGGAUGACGGUACCGGAAGAAGAAGCACCGGCUAACUACGUG
rnacentral:rRNA from 1 species